GAGAAUGUAAAGGAUUAAAAGUGGCCACAAGUUAUUUGACACUUAUCCCUCAGGACCUGAGGUGCUUCCCUUGCAACUAUACAGCCUGAUUGCUUUAUCCAAUAAUGCAUUAACAUUACACUACUGGAUAAAUUGGGAAUCUAGGGGCCUUAGAUACUUGCACUUCCUGGUUGUUGGCACAUUGGCUAGAGAGAGCCAGCCCCCAAGAAAAGUAUGCGUAUCCCAAGACUGUCCUGCCCAGAAGAAACCCUGGAAGUCACAGGAAGAGGAGAUGCCUGACCAGCACCCAGCUUUCAGAUAACUCAAAACUCUGCUAACUUGACUUCAACUGCUAAGACAUCCCAGGGGUCGGCUGCUCAGGGACCCACAGAAUAAAAUAAUUGUUUUGGUUUUUAAAUUUUUUUAAAUUUGUUUUGAAGCCACACAUACCAAUUCUCAGGGCUUAUUCCUGGCACUGUGCUAAGGAUUACUUCUGGUGGGGCUUAGGGGAUCACAUAGGGUGCUAGGGAUAAAACCUAGGUCAGCCACAUAAAAAGCAAGUGCCCUUCCCACUUCAGCUCCAUGAAGUAAUUAUUUUAAGCCAGUGCAUUUUGAGAUAUUCAUGCAACAACAAAAAACUACACUAAGAACAAGCCUGAUUUAUAGGGAUGUAGACUGGGCCCACAACUUGCCAGGUUCUAAAGCUUUUAGGGAGCCUGAACUGUCCCUAGGUAGCCUGGAUUUAUAUUCUGUAAUUCUAGGAGAACUGAA